UCCGGCUUGACGCCGGCAGUCCCCCGAGAGUCCUCAGCUUUACCUGUUAGUAACACGGGGCAAGGGUUGCGCUCGUUGCGGGACUUAACCCAGCAUCUCACGACACGAGCUGACGACAGCCAUGCAGCACCUGUCUCUUGGUUCCCUUGCGGGCACCGCCUCAUCUCUGAAGCAUUCCAAGGAUGUCAAGACCAGGUAAGGUUCAGCGCGUUGCGUCGAAUUAAACCACAUGCUCCACCGCUUGUGCGGGCCCCCGUCAAUUCCUUUGAGUUUUAGCCUUGCGGCCGUACUUCCCAGGCGGAGAACUUAAUGCGUUAGCUACGGCACCGCAGGGGUCAACACCCGCGACACCUAGUUCUCAUCGUUUACGGCGUGGACUAC
rnacentral:misc_RNA from 1 species